GGCUCUCCUCGUCCUGCCCCAUCCCCCUUCCGCAUGUGGCCUCCUCAGAGCUGUGCCUCCAGCCGAGCCUCCUAAGACUCAGUCGGCUUUGGCCCCUCGCAGCUCAAACGGGGUCUGAAGACACGGACAGAACACUGUAAACCAACUGUAAUGGAACAAAUAAAAAUCAUUCAUAAAAAAAGAUUAGCAUGUGUAAGAAGCAUUGCGGUGAAGUUGAGAUCAUGAAGACGGCUUUGCAGACUGGGAAGAAAAACGUGGUCUGGGUUCCCGCAGCAUCGGCAUCACCUGGGAGACCCCUCCCUGACUCUCUCUCUCCAGAUCCCAGAUCCGCUAACGGAGGCCCUGCGUUAGCACAGGAUCUCCAGAGGCUGGAAGUUGUGGGGCCUGCCACUUUUGACCACGAGGACAAGGUGGUAGACUAACAAAACGGAAGAGACCUGAGUUUCUUGGAGCUGACACCUUGGAGCUGCCGUACCUCUUUCAGAUUGCCUACUCAAUUAGGUGAGAAAAAAAUCGUCUCUCUUGUUUCAGCCUCUGUAGUUUCACACUCUAACAUAGAUUUACCAAUACUUUUGAAGCUAUCCGUGUGCCCCCCACAAUACCAUCUUUCUUCCUCUCCACCAGGAGUAACCACUCUCCAGAACUGUGUUUAUCAUUAUUUUUCUUUCCUUUCUAGCUUUGCCACAAUUGUACGUAUUCUGAAACACACAAUCUUGCUUAUCUUUGAACUUUACAUAAAUAAACAAAAUCAUACCGUGUGCGUUGUUCUGUAA
rnacentral:lncRNA from 1 species